AACUUUCAGCAACGGAUCUCUUGGUUCUCGCAUCGAUGAAGAACGCAGCGAAAUGCGAUAAGUAGUGUGAAUUGCAGAAUUCAGUGAAUCAUCGAAUCUUUGAACGCACAUUGCGCCUCCCGGCAUUCCGGGAGGCAUGCCUGUCCGAGCACCA
rnacentral:rRNA from 1 species